GUGUAAUUUUAUUAAUGGCCGCGGUACCUUGACCGUGCUAAGGUAGCACAAUCAGUUGGCUCUUAAUUGGGGUCAGGAAUGAAUGGAGUUACGGAGUUUUACUGUCUCCUAGUUAAUUAUUCAAAGUUACUAUCUAGGUGAAAAAGCCUAAUAAAAGAAAGGGGACGAGAAGACCCUUAGAGUUUGACUUAUAAUAGACCUUAGAAAUUGUGUUUAUAAUGGUUUAGUUGGGGCAACGUAGGAGCAAUAUAGAAAAAUAAAAUCUCCUAAAUUUUAUUAACCGAUAUUUUUAAAUUUGGAUAAACUACCUUAGGGAUAACAGCAUAAUUUAAUAAAUAAGUUUGUGACCUCGAUGUUGGACUAGGAAACUUAAAGGCUAGCCGUCUUUAAGGAAAGUUCUGUUCGAACUAUAAUUCCU
rnacentral:rRNA from 1 species